rnacentral:rRNA from 1 species
ACCCAGACUCCUACGGGAGGCAGCAGUGGGGAAUAUUGCACAAUGGGGGAAACCCUGAUGCAGCGACGCCGCGUGAGCGAUGAAGUAUUUCGGUAUGUAAAGCUCUAUCAGCAGGGAAGAAGAUGACGGUACCUGACUAAGAAGCCCCGGCUAACUACGUGCCAGCAGCCGCGGUAAUACGUAGGGGGCAAGCGUUAUCCGGAUUUACUGGGUGUAAAGGGAGCGUAGACGGCGAUGCAAGCCAGAUGUGAAAGCCCGGGGCUCAACCCCGGGACUGCAUUUGGAACUGUGUGGCUGGAGUGUCGGAGAGGCAGGCGGAAUUCCUAGUGUAGCGGUGAAAUGCGUAGAUAUUAGGAGGAACACCAGUGGCGAAGGCGGCCUGCUGGACGAUGACUGACGUUGAGGCUCGAAAGCGUGGGGAGCAAACAGGAUUAGAUACCCUGGUACC